AUGACACCCUCACCACCGCCCUUGGAGUCUAGCCAGACCAACUUUGUGGUGUGUGCAGGUUUGGAUGCCGCGGUCGCUCGCUCGCCUAUGACCAUUGGGCAAGUGGUGCCCCUAGGUGGAGAUGUUGUUGGGACUGAUGCGUUGGCACCUUGUUCCGAUGCUCUCUUUGCAAAAGAGCUUUGCAACUUGCUCUCUAGCUUGGAGGCGGCUAGCCCUGGGUCUGGUAAGGCGGUUGCGUACAUCCUGACCGGAAAGUUUAACGAAGACAAGAUCAAGAAGGUGGAGAAGUCUCUCAAAAGCAAAAACAAGAAGAGUGAUGCCUUAGGGAAGGCGUCUGCGGCUGCUUAA
rnacentral:rRNA from 1 species